rnacentral:rRNA from 1 species
UACGUAGGUGGCGAGCGUUGUCCGGAAUUACUGGGUGUAAAGCGCGCGUAGGCGGGAGGCCAAGUCCGCUGUGAAAUCGCCCGGCUCAACUGGGCGCGGUCGGUGGAAACUGGUCACCUGGAGGACGGUAGAGGCGAGUGGAAUUCCCGGUGUAGUGGUGAAAUGCGUAGAGAUCGGGAGGAACACCAGUGGCGAAGGCGGCUCGCUGGGCCAGGUCUGACGCUCAACCGCGAAAGCGUGGGGAGCAAACAGG